CAGGAUCUAAAUCCUAGAAUAGUGCAAGCAUUAUUUUCACUCAUCUGCUUUGCAAAGAGUAUGGUAAGUAUCAUAAGGGUGUGUGUAGAGCGGGCAGUAAUGUGUGUUUCGAUGUGGUGAGUCAGGUCACAAGGUCUGAGACUAUCCUAAGCCUGGUCCACAAAGUUAGCAUGGUCGUCCUUCAACUCAGUCCGACCAUCUAAAUCAGUAGGGUGCUAAUUCCAGCACUAUCAGUGGACAACGCCCAAAUAGGAUUUAUCCACUUCAG
rnacentral:lncRNA from 1 species